rnacentral:rRNA from 1 species
UGGGGAAUUUUGGACAAUGGGGGCAGCCCUGAUCCAGCCAUGCCGCGUGAGUGAAGAAGGCCUUCGGGUUGUAAAGCUCUUUCGGACGGAACGAAAUGGUCAGGGUGAAUAUCCCUGACUGAUGACGGUACCUGAAGAAUAAGCACCGGCUAACUACGUGCCAGCAGCCGCGGUAAUACAGAGGGUGCAAACGUUGUUCGGAAUUACUGGGCAUAAAGCGCGCGUAGGCGGCGACGUAAGUGUAGGGUGAAAUCCCACGGCUCACCCGUGUGAAUUGCCCCGCAUACUGCGUUGCUUGAGUGUGGUAGGGGAGAGCGGAACUCCUGGUGGAGCGGUGAAAUGCGUAGAUAUCAGGAGGAACACCGGUGGCGUAGGCGGCUCUCUGGUCCAUAACUGACGCUGAGACGCGAAAGCGUGGGGAGCAAACAGGAUUAGAUACCCACGUAGUCCCUGAGCGGGCUGGCAAGGCGCAU